rnacentral:rRNA from 1 species
GGUCCGCUCAGCCCGGUUGGCAAUCGGGUGGCGAGUGCAAGUGCACAAGCGGGCUUGACUGCGAGGACGACGGUCCGAGCAGGGACGAAAGUCGGGACUAGUGAUCCGGUGCCGGUGUACGGACGCGGCAUCGCUCAACGGAUAAAAGGUACCCCGGGGAUAACAGGCUGAUCAUUCCCAAGAGUCCAUAUCGACGGGAUGGUUUGGCACCUCGAUGUCGGCUCGUCGCAUCCUGGGGCUGGAGCAGGUCCCAAGGGUUCGGCUGUUCGCCGAUUAAAGCGGCACGCGAGCUGGGUUCAGAACGUCGUGAGACAGUUUGGUCUCUAUCCUCUGCGCUCGUUGGAAUGCUGAGGAGGCCUGCCCAUAGUACGAGAGGACCUGGGUGGACGAACCUCUGGUAUGCCGGUUGUCACGCCAGUGGCACGGCCGGUUGGCUACGUUCGGAAGGGAUAACCGCUGAAAGCAUCUAAGCGGGAAGCCUGCUCCAAGAUAAGCAUUCCGUGGAACCUUCGAGUUCCUGUAGUCCCCAUGCAGAACACGUGGUCGAUAGGCCGGACGUGGAAGCCCCGCGAGGGGUGGAGCCGACCGGUACUAACGGACGAAAGGCA